rnacentral:rRNA from 1 species
AUUGAACGCUGGCGGCAUGCCUUACACAUGCAAGUCGAACGCAUCGCAAGAUGAGUGGCAGACGGGUGAGUAACGCGUGGGAACAUACCCUUUUCUACGGAAUAGCUCUGGGAAACUGGAAUUAAUACCGUAUACGCCCUACGGGGGAAAGAUUUAUCGGGGAAGGAUUGGCCCGCGUUGGAUUAGCUAGUUGGUGGGGUAAAGGCCUACCAAGGCGACGAUCCAUAGCUGGUCUGAGAGGAUGAUCAGCCACAUUGGGACUGAGACACGGCCCAAACUCCUACGGGAGGCAGCAGUGGGGAAUAUUGGACAAUGGGCGCAAGCCUGAUCCAGCCAUGCCGCGUGAGUGAUGAAGGCCUUAGGGUUGUAAAGCUCUUUCACCGAUGAAGAUAAUGACGGUAGUCGGAGAAGAAGCCCCGGCUAACUUCGUGCCAGCCGCCGCCGUAAUAC